rnacentral:rRNA from 1 species
GAUGAACGCUGGCGGCGUGCCUAAUACAUGCAAGUCGAGCGAACGGACGAGAAGCUUGCUUCUCUGAUGUUAGCGGCAGACGGGUGAGUAACACGUGGAUAACCUACCUAUAAGACUGGGAUAACUUCGGGAAACCGGAGCUAAUACCGGAUAAUAUUUUGAACCGCAUGGUUCAAAAGUGAAAGACGGUCUUGCUGUCACUUAUAGAUGGAUCCGCGCUGCAUUAGCUAGUUGGUAAGGUAACGGCUUACCAAGGCAACGAUGCAUAGCCGACCUGAGAGGGUGAUCGGCCACGCUGGAACUGAGACACGGUCCAGACUCCUACGGGAGGCAGCAGUAGGGAAUCUUCCGCAAUGGGCGAAAGCCUGACGGAGCAACGCCGCGUGAGUGAUGAAGGUCUUCGGAUCGUAAAACUCUGUUAUUAGGGAAGAACAUAUGUGUAAGUAACUGUGCACAUCUUGACGGUACCUAAUCAGAAAGCCACGGCUAACUACGUG